rnacentral:rRNA from 1 species
GAAGCGGCAACAGCUCAAAUUUGAAAUCUGACCCUUUGGGGUCCGAGUUGUAAUUUGCAGAGGGUGUUUCGGGCACGGUGCCGGUUUAAGUCCUUUGGAACAGGGUGUCAUAGAGGGUGAGAACCCCGUAUGUGACCGGUCGCCAAACCUAUGUGAAACCCCUUCGACGAGUCGAGUUGUUUGGGAAUGCAGCUCAAAAUGGGUGGUAAAUUUCAUCUAAAGCUAAAUAUUGGCCAGAGACCGAUAGCGCACAAGUAGAGUGAUCGAAAGAUGAAAAGCACUUUGGAAAGAGAGUCAAACAGCACGUGAAAUUGUUGAAAGGGAAGCGCUUGCGACCAGACCUGCUCGCGGGUGAUCAGCGGUGCUUUUCGCGCCGUGCACUCAUCCGCGAUCAGGCCAGCAUCGGUUCAGGCGGCCGGACAAAGACUCGGAGAAUGUAGCUCCCUCCGGGGAGUGUUCUAGCUCCUUGUGCAAUACGGCCAGCCGGGACCGAGGACCGCGCU